GAUGAAGAAGAAGGAUCCUGGGGCAAGAGAAUCACUGCUGUGAGAUCAGUCUGGGUCUGCAGUGAGAGCCUGGUGCUGGAACCUGCAGUCACAGUCUAGUUAGGUAAAAGCCUGAAUUUAGUCUCCAAACAAAUCCCUGUAGCUACAAUCUAGUUAGGUAAAAGCCUGCGCUCAGUCUGCACACUAAUCCCUGCAGCCAUGGUCUAGCCAGGUAAAAGCCUGCACUCAGAGUCUCCAAAACAAUCCCUGUAGUCACAGUCUAGCUAGGUAGGAGUCUGCAAACUGAUCUCUACAGAGUUCAGCAGGAAAUACCCAGCAGUCAGAGGCUUCAGGGGAAACCUUCAGCAGGAGCUUGCUGCAGGCAGAGUCAGGGAAUGGUUGGAAUCAGGAUGGCUGAGCUGUACAGAGGAAUAAACCAGGACCCUUUCCAUUCUGUGAUGAAUGAGAAGUCUGUUUUGGCUCAUUUCUACCCUCUAACAAGAGGACUGCUGCAACACAAUCCUUAUGCCCAGAGUAUGUCCAAAGAGGCUGCUCAGCGUCCCUCUGCCACCCGACUCUGCACUGGGUGUGAUGGAAAUGCAGAAGGUCCACAGGGGAAAGCUUUGCAAGAGCAAACUCCCCUGGCCAAGCUGCCAGUGGAGGGCUUGCACCCAAUUGGGUUCGGAAGCAAGAAGUGACAUAACAAAGCCUGGGUGAGCCGAGAUGGGCAGAUCCUUUGGAAGUCAAAGCUCCAUGAAGCAGAGACACCUCAAAGUGCAUUUUUCCAGCUGGGAAGAACUUUGCAGACACCAUGAAGUGAUCACCCUGGGAUUUCCACCUGCCCCAUCCUCACACAGCCGCAGCUGUGGCAGCACAGAAUGGUGCAAACUUCUUCAUUGGUUUGCCCGGUGCUGGAGGUCAACUGCAAAGCUGAGAACUGAACCAAGUUAAAUCCCCAGGCCAUGGACUUUCCCUCCUUCCCCAGGAAGAUCCAGAGGGGAUGUCUUGGUGUGAUACAGCAAUUAAUCCUGCCUGAUGCCUGGCUACCACAGCAAUUUUGAUGGCUGCAGUUGGUGACACUCAGUUACCCAGAAGUGCUAUCAGCUCUGUAACGCAAUUUGCAGGAAGUCACCAUUAAUUAAUGCUAAGUUAUGAAGCACUUCUAGGGAAAGUGACACACCAAAUCGACAUCAGUGCAAGAGGAGUUCAUUAUGGUUAAUGUUACGACAAUAAAAGACAGAGGAAUUAAUGAUGAAUUUCAA